rnacentral:rRNA from 1 species
GACAGAGGUGCCAAGCGUUAGGCGGAAUCACUGGGCUUAAAGCGUGUGUAGGCGGAAUGGUAAGUACCUUGUGAAAUCCCACGGCUCAACCGUGGAACUGCUUGGUAUACUGCUUUUCUUGAGCCACUUAGGGGCAACCGGAACAAACGGUGGAGCGGUGAAAUGCGUAGGUAUCGUUUGGAACGCCAAUGGUGAAAACAGGUUGCUGGGAGUGUGCUGACGCUGAGACACGAAAGCCAGGGGAGCAAACGGG